CGCAAGCAUAAGCGAAAUAUCAUAUUGUCAAAGUCAAAAGGCUUCGUGUUUACACUCGGUAUUUGUGAGGUACUGUGCUUUUUAUUUAGUUUUUGAUUGAUUUGAGUGUUUUGUGGACUGUUAGUCGCAAUUCACACAGAACGGGCGUAUGGCGGUGGCGUGGGACUGGCAUAAAGCUGGAAUGGAGUGGACGUGGCGCGCACAAUUCACAUAGAAAGAGAUUCAAUGUGAUUAUUGUCAUUUAUUUGUUACGUACAUAACUGUGUAGUAAAGUUACAAUGCUUUCGGAUGACGAAGGUGAUCAAGAUAUAUUGAACCUUGUAAAUUUAGCUAACAUUCAAAGGCAAAGGAGUUACUGAAUACAUCCGUUGUGGUUAGAUAAAGAAAAAACUGGUGGUUUGUUUAAUGUUAUGCGAGAGCCCAAAAUGUACCCUGAAUGUUUUCAAAGUUUCUAUCGAAUGUCUGUUCAAUGUUUUUAUAAAAUACUAGCUUUAGUAAAGGUUAAUAUUGAGAAGAAAUCUCAAAUUGGAGAGAACUUGUCAGUCCAGAGGAAAGGUUGUUAAUAACGCUGAGCCAAGGGGGAGACAUUAGAUCUGCGCAACAAAAACAAAGCCUGCUGCGCAUGAUGGAUGCCCAGGAACAGCACUCUAGGCGCCUGAACAUUAGCGUUUUUGGCCUACAAUGUCACAGCGAUGAAAACGAUUAAGUUGCAGCAUUCGGUAUCAAAUUUACUGCGAUCCAAAAUGCAAGUUAGUGACCUUCGAGAUUCAGACAUCAAAAGAUGUUUCCGCGUUAAACAAAACACGUCCGAGCUCAUCGUUAAACCGCCGGUCGUAAUGGUAGAAUUUACAAGCUUAAACCAAAAAUCGUUUGGUGGUUAAAACUGCAUUGGUUUCGUUUUCUAAACAAAAUGUGUGGAUUUCACAUGGCAAUGAUUACAUAAAAAAUCGGGGUAUUGUGCCUUGUGUACAGAAUGAGGACGAUUUGAAUUCUAUUUAAAGGUACUUUAAUAUCCUUACGAAUAUUAAAUUAUUAUAGUUAUUAUAGCAUUUGGGAUUAUUGCUAGCUUUCAAAAGAAUCUAUACUUAUAUUGUAUUUAUUUUUGCGUAAUAUAGUGGUAUAGGGGCCACAUAAGUAAAAAAAAGUGUUAUUUCAUCUUAUUAUUAUUGUUUUUAUUAUUGAAACAUUUUCUCUUUUUAGUUUAUAUAAUUCAUUUUUAUACUAUUUUCCGUGAUUUCUAAGUACAGUCUUUUUUAUUUGUU